ensembl:lncRNA
GAGGGACUUCGUUCCGUUCGGGCCCGGUUCGGGAUAGGGGGGGUCGCAGCGCCGCUCGGCUGUCGGGGUUCCGUCGCGGUGCUGCGAAAGGGGUUUGGGCGCAGCCGCUCCGACGCCGAUCGUUGGACGUAACCACCGGCCACAUUCAGGUGCACGGCGUAUGCACGGGGAAAGCCUUUCCGAAAUCCUUCCCGUGAGCAACACGAUGGAAAGCUGCAGAUUUGGGGCAGUCGCUCUUUGCCGUGCGUUCCCAGGGAAAAGCUAUUGGGAUGUUUGUUUUGUUUCCCUUCGUUCCUCUUUGAGUGUUUGCAUUUGGGGGGUUUGUUCGUUUGUUUCCGGACUGCGAAACGGGAUCCGGUGAUGGCACCCCGGGGAGAAGGAGCCGCCGUAGGGGAGGCGUGAAAUGCACUAUAGGGUUUCACCUAUCCCCUGCGCGCGGUGUGUGCCCCGUUUCAAUAGCGGAUGGGCUGCUUCGUCGGGGAAGGGCUGAGUACUAAACGCACUCAGAGAUGAGUUACCCCACGUAGCGUUACCGGCGAUUAAAUUGUUUACAUCUCUUUCGAAGCGCGAGGGAGUGUCAGGUCGAUAAUCGAUUAAAGGAAAAACAAAACAAAACAAAACCAAAAACAGCCACCACGGUGGAAGGGUUGUGCCCUACACCCCGAUAAAAUCCCGCUGCGGAUCGGUGGGGCUGCGGAGAGCUCCCGGUGCCGCGGGGUUCUCUCUCUGCGUUCUCCGUCCGGGACGCAAUCACCGCACCGCGGGCUGAAGCCCGUCUGAGCUGCCGGGCCCCGCCGCAACCGAAUCCGAAGGAAAUCACAUGUGCUAGAGGGGUCGGAGCGUGUUAAGCUCGAGGAUCCCGCAGGAGCUGAACCGCCCUCGCGCUGGGGCUGGGAUCGAUAGUGGGAGGUAGGAAGGAAAUGGCUCCGGGCUGCCCCAGGGCGCUCCGCGAGCCGCCCGCCCGUCCAGCUCCGACGGCGCCUUCCGCGGCUCCGCUCCUCCGCUGCUGCAGCACCGGCGGGGCCAGUGGAGCAGUGGAAAGUGCACAAAAUAGUGGAAUCCUCUCUUUCCAACAGUUUCCUUUAGGUUGUGAGAUGGAUAGUGAAAAACCACUUUCAGAUCAUGAGGGGAUGGGUAUUUGAGAACAGGAAUGGCGAGUGUGCAUCCACCCUUGUAGUGCCUGGGUUCUCCUCCUGCUUGGUGCACCAUCAUUGCAUGGUGAUGCUUGAUGCUGUGACUGGUCCUGCGCUUGGCUUGCUGAUUCUUUGGCCGAGGCCCAUGGCUGUAUUUGCUCAGUAUAUAAUUUGAUGGUACCUCGUUCCAGCUCUCUGGGUACUACUAUAAUAUUAGCAUUACUGUACCAUAAUAAUAACAUGACUACAUAUUUUAUGAGCACUCUUCUCUCAUUGCUGGAAAAAGCAGUGGUGUUGGAAAGGAAAUAUGAAGCUCUUUGGCUGAAAAUCUUCUUGUGAACUUCAAGAGAAAGCAGGUGCCAGGUCCUCAGGUGACAUAACCUGGCACAGCCUUGCCAUGACCAAUGGGGCUGCUCUGACUCAUGUUGGCUAAAAUCUGAGCCUAAAUGUAUAAGGUUAAAGAAAGAAAUGACCAUUGUGAAUUUGCUUUUAUUAUUUACUGUAGCAGUUGGCACCGGGAAAGAUACUUGGAUUGAAAUUUUUGCAGUCUUGACAGACAAACUCUGAGGGCAUGGGAAAGUCAGUGCACUGAGUCUUCCUCCACCAAGCACUAGGUUUGGCUGAAAGUGCAAACCCUGGGGUUAGCCUUACAUCACCGGAGGUGGGAGCAGACACAUACCCUCUGACUUCUUCCAGAACUAAAUAUAAACCCUUGAUGGCUUAAUAAGUCCUAUGGGGAAAAGCAAUGGGCUUGAAAGGGAACUAGGGGGGAAGGAGGGGGGUAAGGAGGGAGAAACAGCUACACGGCAAAAAAUGAAGAAAGUAAAACCUACUAGUGGGCAGCAGUUAAGAGGAAAGCCUGCAGGGAAACUGAAGGCUACGUGCUCUUGCUCACAGCCAAGAGAUGUCCCAUCGCCUUUGGAGAGGAGUUUGCA